rnacentral:tRNA from 2 species
GGUAGAGUGGCCGAGCGGUCCAAGGCGCUGUGUUCAGGUGAUUUAUUAGUCAUCGCAGUAUCGAAAGAUGCGUGGGUUCGAAUCCCACCUCUAUCA